AUUGAACGCUGGCGGCAUGCUUUACACAUGCAAGUCGAACGGCAGCGCGGGCUUCGGCCUGGCGGCGAGUGGCGAACGGGUGAGUAAUGCAUCGGAACGUGCCCAGUAGUGGGGGAUAGCCCGGCGAAAGCCGGAUUAAUACCGCAUACGACCUGAGGGAGAAAGCGGGGGAUCGAAAGGCCUCGCGCUAUUGGAGCGGCCGAUGUCGGAUUAGCUAGUUGGUGGGGUAAAGGCUUACCAAGGCGACGAUCCGUAGCUGGUCUGAGAGGACGACCAGCCACACUGGGACUGAGACACGGCCCAGACUCCUACGGGAGGCAGCAGUGGGGAAUUUUGGACAAUGGGGGCAACCCUGAUCCAGCCAUGCCGCGUGCGGGAAGAAGGCCUUCGGGUUGUAAACCGCUUUUGUUCGGGAAGAAAUCCUCUGGGCUAAUACCCCGGGGGGAUGACGGUACCGGAAGAAUAAGCACCGGCUAACUACGUG
rnacentral:rRNA from 1 species